AUAACUAAGCGGAGGAAAAGAAACCAAAUGGGAUUCCCUUAGUAACGGCGAGCGAACAGGGAAUGGUCCAGCGCCAAGUCUUGACAUUUAGGUGUUCAAGAGAUGCGGCGUUAAUGUGUUGGCGCAUCGUACAUUGCUUUAGAUUUCAAGUUCCUUUGACAGGGACAUCCAAAGCGGGUGCUAGGCCCAUAGGGAUCAGAAGCUAAUGUACGCAGGCUAAUACAUUCUAGAGUCAGGUUGUUUGAGAGUGCAGCUUAAAGUCGGUGGUAAACUCCAUCUAAGACUAAAUAUAACAGCGAGACCGAUAGCAAACAAGUACCGUGAGGGAAAGUUGCAAAGCACUUUGAAGAGAGAGUUCAAUAGUACGUGAAACCACUGGGAGGCAAACAGAUGGAACCACGAAGUUUGCGCCUCAGUCGAUUCAAUCAAUUCCAUUGGCCAACAAGUGUUGUUGGUUGGGCCUUUUCGGAGACUACAACAACGCUGUUGAGUUAAUGGCGUUGGUGCAUUUCGUAUUGAGGAUGCUAAGCCACGUUCGACUAGAUAGUUGGGACGGCUGUAGGACAGGAUCAGAGAAAGGUGACCACCAGAUGCUUGCGUUUGGUGGUGUUUAUAGUCUCAGAUCGGAACCGUCGCCAAACACACUGGUCGAUAAAAAUGCUCCGUUCGGAGUGAAGACUAUGCUUGCUUACACGCCCUAGGUUGCAGGGCCUUUGUGGCAUACUUUGCGUAUCGUAAGGUGCGAAAAGCUGUCGCAAUUCUGUUAUCUAUGGUUGUUCGCGUUGCAUGGUUGAACUGUGGCGCGAGUAGGUCGGUGUCCAUCUGACCCGUCUUGAAACACGGACCAAGGAGCCUAUCAUAUACGCGAGUCGCUCGGUCUUGUUUAGGCCCGGGAGGCAAAAUGAAAGUAAAGCUACGAGGCUUCGGUCGCAGUAGCGGCCCGCCUACUCCGUUUAUUGGCGGUCGGGCGGAGCUGGAGCGUAUACGAUGGUACCCGAAAGAUGGUGAACUAUGCCUGGGCAAGACGAAGCCAGAGGAAACUCUGGUGGAGGUCUGUAGCGAUUCUGACGUGCAAAUCGAUCGUCAGACCUGGGUAUAGGGGCGAAAGACUAAUCGAACCAUCUAGUAGCUGGUUCCCUCCGAAGUUUCCCUCAGGAUAGCAGGCGCUUGAUUAAUUCAGUCUCAUCCGGUAAAGCUAAUGAUUAGAGGUCUUGGGGUUGAAACGACCUCAACCUAUUCUCAAACUUUAAAUGGGUGAGAUGGUCGACUUGCUUGAUUGAAGCCGACCGUUAGGAUGGAAGUGCCUAGUGGGCCAUUUUUGGUAAGCAGAACUGGCGCUGUGGGAUGAACCAAACGUCGAGAUAAGGCAUCAAAUGCAUACGCUCAUCAGACCCCAUAAAAGGUGUUGGUUGCUAUAGACAGCAGGACGGUGGCCAUGGAAGUCGGAAUCCGCUAAGGAGUGUGUAACAACUCACCUGCCGAAGCAACUAGCCCUGAAAAUGGACGAUGCUGUAGCGUGGAGCCGAUACUCGACCGUGAUGGCGUGUCAAAGAGAAUGCGAUGCUAUCACGAGUAGGAGGGUCGCAAUGAUAGCGUCGAAGGUGUCGGGCGUGAGCCCGCCUGGAGCUGUCAUUGUUGCAGAUCUUGGUGGUAGUAGCAAAUACUCAAGUGAGAAUCUUGAGGACUAACGUGGAGAAGGGUUCCAUGUGAACAGCAGUUGGACAUGGUUCAGUCGGUCCUAAGGAGGCAGAGAAAUCUGUUACAACGGCCCGGUUUAAUUUAAAAAUAUAUGAUUCCGUGGCUGAUUCUCCGAAAGGGAAUCAGGUCAAUAUUCCUGAACUGAGACAGGGAGGAUGUGUUUCUUUUUUAAGUGAACACUAAUGCGGUAACGCGAUCAAAUUCGGAGACAUCGGCGGCAGUCCUGGGAAGAGUUGUCUUUUCUCUAUAAGGUGUCGAAUCCAUGAAAACAGCUUGUCUGGAGAUAUGGACGUUGACGCCGAAGAGCUCAGCGGUUCUUGCUGAGUCCGGUGCGCUGUUGUCGAUCCUUGAAAAUCCGAAGGCGAGGUUUACCUCCGUGCUCAGCCGUACCAAUAUCCGCAGCAGGUCUCCAAGGUUAACAGCCUCUAGUUUCUAGAAUAAUGUAGGUAAGGGAAGUCGGCAAAACUGAUCCGUAACUUCGGGAUAAGGAUUGGCUCUGAAGGGUGGGCCGUUCGGGCUGUGGUCAGAAACAAGUGAUGCGCUGGCUAGGACUGGACAUCGAAAGAUGAUCGGACUUGUGCCGGCGUUGGCUUGCGGAAGGCCAUGGCUACGCUCCUGGGCCCUGUGCUUGGGAUGUCGUUUUCGGGCGGCAUUCAACAUCCGAAUCAGAACUGGCACGGACCCCGGGAAUCCGACUGUCUAAUUAAAACAAAGCAUUGCGAUGGCCGGCGAUCGGUGUUGACGCAAUGUGAUUUCUGCCCAGUGGUAUGAAUGUCAAUGUGAAGAAAUUCACUCAAGCGCU
rnacentral:rRNA from 1 species